GAUGAACGCUGGCGGCGUGCUUAACACAUGCAAGUCGAACGAUGAUCUCCAGCUUGCUGGGGGGAUUAGUGGCGAACGGGUGAGUAACACGUGAGUAACCUGCCCUUGACUCUGGGAUAAGCCUGGGAAACUGGGUCUAAUACCGGAUACGACUGCUCCGCGCAUGCGGUGGUGGUGGAAAGCUUUUGCGGUUUUGGAUGGACUCGCGGCCUAUCAGCUUGUUGGUGGGGUAAUGGCCUACCAAGGCGACGACGGGUAGCCGGCCUGAGAGGGUGACCGGCCACACUGGGACUGAGACACGGCCCAGACUCCUACGGGAGGCAGCAGUGGGGAAUAUUGCACAAUGGGCGAAAGCCUGAUGCAGCGACGCCGCGUGAGGGAUGACGGCCUUCGGGUUGUAAACCUCUUUCAGUAGGGAAGAAGCGAAAGUGACGGUACCUGCAGGAGAAGCGCCGGCUAACUACGUGC
rnacentral:rRNA from 1 species